rnacentral:lncRNA from 1 species
AGGCAGCUGGACGCGCCGGCCGGUGUGCGCCGUGUGAAGGUAUGAGGAAGCGGCCGCCGCGGAAGAGGGAGCCAGGCGACCACUCACGUUCACAGAUGGAGCAGCCGCGCGGAUGAUGUUUGACAUGGAAAUUGCUUGGCUGGGGUAUUCUGUUUCCUCUGCGUUGUAUCCGUGUCACCUCAUCUCCAUCUUUUGGAUAAAUCUAGAACCACGAAGGAUUUAAUAAUUCCAAGAAGGCUGAUCCAGCAAGUGAUUUUCUUUGGAGCGGAUAACCAUUUGUUCAUAGCCAUAGCGAUUUGAUUGGUGGAGCCGGUGGCCUCCCUUAGCCAAGGUAGGCUGUCUUUUCUUCCCUCGCCGGCAGUAAAGGAAACCUUCUCGUCACUUACUUCACCCCUGAAAGCAGUUUGGGUUCACAGUCUUUAAGGAACACUCCGGAAUACCAGGAGUUUGGGGAGGAUAUUGAUCUUUCCGUUCCGCCCAUCCAUCCUCUUUUUACCGAUUUUUUUUUAAUUGCAAAGAAAAAAAAAAGCUACACACAAACGAGAUAAAGUAGAUGAACCAUAGUGAGACAGUUGCUUCUUUUUCUUCAAGUCUUUUAUCGCUUCCCAAAAGGACAGAGGGAACUGUGGGCCUCGUAGGUUUCCCAGAUUUUCCAUAGUUGUUAGGAACUUAGGUUUUCCUUCGCGUCCGCUUCCCCGCGACCUGUUGAUGACUCCGAGUGGCGGAGCACGAAGCUGUGCGUUGAAGUUGGUUAUGUAAACUGCUUGUGUAUUUCACAUUAUCAUCGCGCUGUCUGGAGGCAAUGUAGAUUUUCUAAAGAUCUAAUGAAUAAACAACCAGCAACUGCUGGCGGUGUAAUUUACAUUGUUAAUUCCUACAUGUGUAUAAUAAAUAUGCAUUUGUAUGCCUUCAAAUAAACUCUUUUCAGUUUCUAA